CCUACGGGCGGCUGCAGUGAGGAAUAUUGCGCAAUGGGGGCAACCCUGACGCAGCAACGCCGCGUGAGUGAGGAAGGUUUUCGGAUCGUAAAGCUCUGUCGGGUGGGAAGAAAUGUAUAGAGGUUAAUAGCCUUUGUACUUGACGGUACCGCCAAAGGAAGCACCGGCUAACUCCGUGCCAGCAGCCGCGGUAAUACGGGGGGUGCAAGCGUUGUUCGGAAUCAUUGGGCGUAAAGAGCGUGUAGGCGGCUAGGCAAGUCAGAUGUGAAAUCCCUGGGCUUAACCCAGGACGUGCAUUUGAAACUGCUUGGCUUGAGUAAGGAAGAGGGAAGUGGAAUUCCUGGUGUAGAGGUGAAAUUCGUAGAUAUCAGGAGGAACACCGGUGGCGAAGGCGACUUCCUGGUCCUAUACUGACGCUGAGACGCGAGAGCGUGGGGAGCAAACAGGAUUAGAUACCCGUGUAGUCAC
rnacentral:rRNA from 1 species